UCUUGCUGUAACUCUUUUUAGACCCCUUUCUUUUCUCUGGGUAACCCCUUUUGGCUGUCUUAAAGAACUCUCUAUUUACUCAGCUGGAAAUUCAGGGGAAUUUGAUUAUGGGGAGUUUUAUGGUUCUUGUGAGUUGAAUUUGGAGAGUCUUUUGUUGACUGGAAUUAAAUCAGGGGAUAAGGGGGUUGGUUUUUUAUGGAGGAAUUGCAAAAAGGUAACAACUUUGAAGCUGAUAAGCUGUGAAGGGGUUGGUGAUCAAGGUUCUUUUUUAACAUUUCUUCAGUGUUUAGAGGGUCUUCAAGAAUUGGAAUUGAGAACUUGUAGGACAAUUGCUGAUGGGGUUUUGUUGAAAUUGGCUGAGAAUUGUGCUAUGUUGAAUUCUUUGUUGCUCUAUGAUGGUGGUAGUAAAGACGGGUUGUUUCAUUUCUUGACCCAAAGCAAAUGUCCUAAUUUGCAGAAUCUUGAUUUAAGGUUGCCUCUUGAUCUUGAAAACUAUCAUUUGACAGCUGCUGCUGAAAAUUUAGGGAGUUUGAGGAGUUUAAGGUUACAAAGUUG
rnacentral:misc_RNA from 1 species